GGAGGAGGAGUGCAGGAGCUCAGGUGUGUCUCAGUGUCUCAGCAGCAGCAGCUCAGUCAGCAGCAGCAGCAGCUCUCUCAGUCGGAGGUGGAACGAUGUCAGCUGAUGACGCACAUUCACACUCUGCAGCAGUCCAAACAGACGCUCCAGGGGGAGAUCGAGUGUCUGAGAGGAGAGCUGGAGAGAACGACAACCAGGAGAGAGGAGG